GAUGACAGCUAACAUGGCAUUGCAUGGGUGUACUAAUACAUUGUCUGGACUGUUUUGGCGAAGACAUCCGGUCUGCCUCUGGGCACGUACUGAAGGGCAGCUGGCACAGUCAUCUCUGUGGUGUUUGGCAGAUGUUGGGCGUGGGAGAUUUGAGCUGCUUGCGAGCAGCUGCUCGCAUAGCACUGGAACGGUGUGCUUGAGGAGGUCUGUCGAAUCUUGAAAGCUUACAGAUAUGGGGUUUUGAAACUUUUAUUUUUAUUUCUAUGCUGUCCCCAGUAGAGUGUAAACCUUUGGAGGAACCUGUCACAGGAAAGAGCUCCUUCUGGAACUGUUCAGCACUCGGUAGGCAGCUCGGUGACUGGCUUGAUCUACUUCUGAGGUGCUGAGGUAUGGGGGCUUCUGUUUUGAAAUGAUAAUAUUGUAAAUGGGGUCCCUUUGUGUUGUUGAGCGAUGGGUGCUAAUGCUGGCAGCUGAAUGAUUAUCUUGUGACUGUUUUCAUUUGUUUAAGGUGAAACACAGUGUACAACACGGGACUUGACCGGAGCUGCUUUUGGCAAGGGGUGUUGUAGCUGGCCUAAGAGAGCAGAUGGAAGCAUCUUCCUCGAGGGCAGGUGAGGGCGCCGAGGUGUCUCGCACAGGCUGAGUAGGGCCAAGCUGCACUCUGAAGAGCAGCACGAGAAGGGCGGGCUGGUUGUGAGCUGGAUUGGAGCAGAACUGCCAAGUAGCACGAGGUGUCCCAGGCAACGUGGGCUGUGAUGUUAGUCUUCAGAAUCGGAACAAAGCGGGUGCUGAUGGCUGUCUUCUUUGGUAGGCAAGGAGGUGCCCAAAGCCCUGUCUUGUGUAGCCUGAGCACGCCUCGCUGAGUAUGAAGCUUGAUUUCCAGCAGUUCUGAAAACUGUGUUGAGGCUGAAAUGCUGUU